UCGAGAAUCUUCGGCAAUGGGCGCAAGCCUGACCGAGCGACGCCGCGUGGAGGACGAAGGCCUUCGGGUUGUAAACUCCUGUCGAGGGGGAACAAGGGGCGGUGCAGAGCCGUCCUUGAGUGAACCCUGGAGGAAGCACGGGCUAAGUUCGUGCCAGCAGCCGCGGUAAGACGAACCGUGCGAACGUUAUUCGGAAUCACUGGGCUUAAAGCGCGUGUAGGCGGCCCGGCACGUCCGUCGCUGAAAGCCCCCGGCUCAACCGGGGAACGGGCGCGGAUACGACCGGGCUAGAGGGAGGUAGGGGGCGCCGGAACGGCCGGUGGAGCGGUGAAAUGCGUUGAGAUCGGCAGGAACGCCCGUGGCGAAAGCGGGCGCCUGGACCUCACCUGACGCUGAGACGCGAAAGCCAGGGGAGCGAACGGGAUUAGAUACCCCCGUAGUCC
rnacentral:rRNA from 1 species